rnacentral:rRNA from 1 species
UACAGAGGGUGCAAGCGUUGUUCGGAAUUAUUGGGCGUAAAGCGCGUGUAGGCGGCUUGGCAAGUCGGGUGUGAAAGCCCUCAGCUCAACUGAGGGAGUGCGCCCGAAACUGCUUUGCUUGAGUGCUGGAGAGGGUCGCGGAAUUCCCCAAGUAGAGGUGAAAUUCGUAGAUAUGGGGAGGAACACCGGUGGCGAAGGCGGCGACCUGGACAGUAACUGACGCUGAGACGCGAAAGCGUGGGUAGCAAACAGG